CUAUGCUACAUGGGGAGCUAGCGGUGCCCUGUAACCUGCAAACCGCUACAGCAGGGUGGAUGCCAGGCGGAGGGUUAUGUUCUAGCUGCUUUGUGAUGAUAUGUGGCGAUGACACUUUCCAUUCUGCGCAAUGAAAAGUUGGUAAACCCCGUCAGGCCUGGAAGGGAGCAGCGGCAACCGAUUAUUUUAUGUGCCGCAGGAUUACAGAAAGCGAGCAAACAGUCAAAACAGAGUUGUUAUCAACAGAUUCGAUGCCUGGUGCAUAG
rnacentral:SRP_RNA from 1 species